GGGGAUGACAGGCUUCGACGGGAGAGGCUGGCCCCGAAUUGCGAGCCGAGAGGCGCCGAGCUCGAAAAAUCAGCGCAAACAAAAGUGCCAACCGCACAACCUAUGCUGCUCUGCCCCUCGCUGCAUAAGCGAGUUAGCAGACAGCCGGUCCUCUAAAGCAGGACCACGUCCGCCUGCCCCGCCCUCCGACCGGUGGCAGGGUCGGGCGUGAGAAAGUCGGAGUGCCGCACGCGAUGCCGCUACACGUGCGAAAGAGGGGCUUUCGGGUCCUAGCGGCUGGCUGGCAGAUAUCCCUGGCCAAUUGAGGUGCUCGCCAGCAAGAAUGAUCAGUUGGCUACGCUCGUAGAGAUUCGAGGGUCGAAUCUUUCGGACUCGGGUUCGAUUCCCGACAUCUCCACUA
rnacentral:tmRNA from 1 species